AUACGGAGGAUCCGAGCGUUAUCCGGAUUUAUUGGGUUUAAAGGGAGCGUAGGCGGACGCUUAAGUCAGUUGUGAAAGUUUGCGGCUCAACCGUAAAAUUGCAGUUGAUACUGGGUAUCUUGAGUACAGUAGAGGCAGGCGGAAUUCGUGGUGUAGCGGUGAAAUGCUUAGAUAUCACGAAGAACUCCGAUUGCGAAGGCAGCCUGCUGGACUGUAACUGACGCUGAUGCUCGAAAGUGUGGGUAUCAAACAGGAUUAGAUUCCCUGGUAGUCCACACAGUAAACGAUGAAUACUCGCUGUUUGCGAUAUACAGUAAGCGGCCAAGCGAAAGCGUUAAGUAUUCCACCUGGGGAGUACGCCGGCAACGGUGAAACUCAAAUGAAUUGACGGGG
rnacentral:rRNA from 1 species